AUUGAACGCUGGCGGAAUGCUUUACACAUGCAAGUCGAGCGGCAGCGCGGGGGCGAACCCUCGGCGGCGAGCGGCGAACGGGUGAGUAACAUAUCGGAACGUACCCUGUCGUGGGGAGUAACUAUCCGAAAGGAUAGCUAAUACCGCAUACGACCUGAGGGUGAAAGCGGGGACCGGCAAGGCCUCGCGCGAUAGGAGCGGCCGAUAUCGGAUUAGCUAGUUGGUGAGGUAAAGGCUCACCAAGGCGACGAUCCGUAGCGGGUCGUGAGAGGACGACCCGCCACACUGGAACUGAGACACGGUCCAGACUCCUACGGGAGGCAGCAGUGGGGAAUUUUGGUACAAUGGGGGCGAACCCUGAUCCAGCCAUUCCGCGUGAGUGAAGAAGGCCUCGGUUGU
rnacentral:rRNA from 1 species